AUAUGACAUUGUUGUUGUUUACAGUAUUAAUUUCAGCCAUGACUCAUCCUUUCUGUGUGCAUCCAGUGACAAGGGAACUGUGCACAUAUUUGCUCUGAAAGACACCAAACUGAACCGGCGUUCUGCUUUGGCGCGAGUAGGAAAGGUGGGUCCGGUCAUCGGGCAGUAUGUGGACAGUCAGUGGUCUCUGGCUAAUUUCACGGUGCCGGCUGAGUGCGCUUGCAUCUGUGCCUUUGGGAAGAACACCUCCAAAAAUGUCAACUCUGUUAUUGCCAUAUGUGUUGAUGGGACAUUCCACAAGUACGUCUUCAGCCCUGAUGGAAACUGCAACCGCGAGGCUUUCGACGUGUAUCUGGACAUUUGCGAUGAUGAUGAUUUCUAAAGCUGUAGAUUGAGCUGUGACUAAUGUAAAAUAGUAACCUUUUUAACAGUGAACUCUGCUGGUUGUUCCUCAUGCUUAUUUCUGUGAGAUUAUGUUACUGCCUUGUAUAAUCAAAUGUACAUAAAAUCGGUCUGUGAGUAAAUGUCUUGUUAACAUAUCUUAUUUUUUCACAUGCAGGAGUUUCAAAGUCUGUGAUCGUUUACUUGUUCUUCAGAGAUACUCAACCUUUGAACACUUUUGAAUGAUUUCUCAUCAUUCUUUGUCCUGUUGGUGUCCUGUUACUCUUAAGGAAAAAGGUUCCUCAACCUUAAAGGAACUUUAUUUAUGAAUCAAUACAGGCUUUUGGGACUAAAUAUAUAUAGAACAGGGUUUUGGCUUUAUGGUGUA